AGCCGGCCCAACGGCCGGGUAAUACCGCAUACGCUCGGCCCGGGGCAUCCCGGGGCGAGGAAACUUCCGGGGCGGGGAGAGGGACUCGCGGCCUAUCAGCUAGUUGGCGGGGUAACGGCCCACCAAGGCGGUGACGGGUAGCUGGUCUGAGAGGAUGGCCAGCCACAUUGGGACUGAGAGACGGCCCAGACUCCUACGGGAGGCAGCAGUGGGGAAUCUUGCGCAAUGGCCGAAAGGCUGACGCAGCGACGCCGCGUGGGGGAGGAAGGGCUUCGGCUCGUAAACCCCUGUUGCCCGGGGCGAACAGCAGGUUUCGACCUGCCUGACGGUACCGGGUGAGGAAGCACCGGCUAACUCCGUGCCAGCAGCCGCGGUAAUACAAUUGU
rnacentral:rRNA from 1 species